rnacentral:rRNA from 1 species
UACGUAGGCAGCGAGCGUUGUUCGGAGUUACUGGGCGUAAAGCGUAUGCAGGCGGACUUUUAAGUCGGGGGUGAAAUCCCGAGGCUCAACCUCGGAACUGCCUUCGAUACUGGAAGUCUUGAGUCCGGGAGAGGUGAGUGGAACUCCGAGUGUAGAGGUGAAAUUCGUAGAUAUUCGGAAGAACACCAGUGGCGAAGGCGGCUCACUGGCCCGGUACUGACGCUGAGAUACGAAAGCGUGGGGAGCAAACAGG